rnacentral:rRNA from 1 species
AAUGAACGCUGGCGGCGCGCUUAACACAUGCAAGUCGAACGAGAAAGUCCUUCGGGAUGAGUACAGUGGCGAACGGGUGAGUAACGCGUGAGAAUUUACCCAUCAGUGGGGGAUACCUUUGGGAAACCGAAGUUAAUACCGCAUGACCUUUAAAUAGAAAAGGCGGCCUCUUUGCUGUCGCUGAUGGAUGAGCUCGCGUACUAUUAGCUAGUUGGUGGGGUAAUGGCCUACCAAGGCGAUGAUGGUUAGCCGGCCUGAGAGGGUGAUCGGCCACACUGGGACUGAGAUACGGCCCAGACUCCUACGGGAGGCAGCAGUGGGGAAUAUUGCGCAAUGGGCGAAAGCCUGACGCAGCGACGCCGCGUGGAGGAUGAAGGUCUUAGGAUUGUAAAAUACUUUCACCGGGGAAGAUAAUGACGGUACCCGGAGAAGAAGCCCCGGCUAACUUCGUGCCAGCAGCCGCCGUAAGAC